GGCUCGGUAGCGGAGGGUCCGCAUCUGCUUUCCAUUUCAAAUUGUCGAGAGAAUAAUGCAGAUAAAGCCUGUUCGACUCAGGCCCGACCCA